AGAAAAGAAGGUGCAGUACGAAGGAGAGGAGCCAGUUUGGGGACCGGGAGCAAGAGCACACUGACUGGGAGCGGCUACGGGGAGAAGUCAUGCUUUGACAAGAGAGCAGCCGGGACCAGCUUCACGGGCAGUGGGCCCGUCUCCCGCCGUUGAGGAUUUCCCUCCAUCCAGACUCAAUCCCAGCCCAGCGGAGGUCUUCAGCACUUCGACACAUAGCGCAUCGUGUGAAGGAAGGCUUCUCCCUGCAGCAACGACAUUUGGAAGGAUGGAAAUGACAAGGACACUCAUCACCUCCUCUCCCGUCCCCCAAGUGUCUUACCCUAGCACCCGAGUCCCAUCUAUCUCUGAAACCAGCGUGAGGAUGGGUCUCUCAGAUUUGGAACUGACCUCGUGGCUGUGUUCCUGCUGUACCUGCACCAUUUGCUCUUCAAGGCAUUUUUUUUUAAAGAUUUAUGUAUUUAUUUGAAAGAACACAUGCACGUGAGCAGGGGGAGGGCCAGGGAGAGAGGGAGAGAUGCAGACUCCCCGCUGCGUGCAGAGCCCCACGUGGGGCUCGAUUCCAGGACCCCAGGAUCAUGACCUGAGAUGAAAUCAAGAGCCGGAUGCUCCACGGACUGAGCCAUGCAGGCUCCCCUCAGCACUUUCUGGAAGCAUGGAGGUGGCUCUGGUGCCCAAGGAGAAACCCUCAAAGGCCAGACUGCGCUGUGGUAGUGUGUCUCGGUGAAGCCACACUUGGGGAAUCAGAUCCGAUCUCCUGCCGUGUGUCACAGGCCGGGACUGAUAGCCUGCAACACCCUCGCAGGAGACUGACUGUGGACCCCAGAGCUCCGCGCCUUCCCCCUUCGGCCGUGCAUGCUUAUCAUGCACCAGCUGCCCUCGCCCCUCUCCAUGGCAGCGUGUGGAGUGUGGAAGGCACGUUUCCAUGGCAGUGGGUCCUCCACUGCAACCAAAGUGUGCCCGCUCUGUGUGCUGGUUUGGAGAGGCCUGGCUGGGAUCCAUCCUGAGAUCUGAGGAGCGAUGGUGAGCUUGCCUCUUACUCCUCUUCCUUACACACUGUGCUGGUGAAGGAUUUGAAGAGGAGGAAACAAACACCAGUGUUCUUAGAACACAUGGACAGGAUUUUGUCCUCGUCACCUCUGAGGCUGCAUCAGGAGUGACCUCCCAGAGAGCAUCUUGAUGUGGUCACUUACCACAAUUGAUUUUGGCUCCA